GAUGAAGAACGUAGCGAAAUGCGAUAAGUAAUGUGAAUUGCAGAAUCCAGUGAAUCAUCGAAUCUUUGAACGCACAUUGCGCCCGCCAGCAUUCUGGCGGGCAUGCCUGUUCGAGCGUCAUUUCAACCCUCGACCUCCCUUUGGGGAAGUCGGCGUUGGGGACCGGCAGCACACCGCCGGCCCUGAUAUGGAGUGGCGGCCCGUCCGCGGCGACCUCUGCGUAGUAAUCCAACUCGCACCGGAACCCCGACGCGGCCACGCCGUAAAACACCCAACUUCUGAACGUUGACCUCGAAUCAGGUAGGACUACCCGCUGAACUUAAGCAUAUCAAUAAGCGGAGGA
rnacentral:misc_RNA from 1 species